GAUGGGCUGGCUGGAUGCCAGGUGUCCCUGCCUCCAGCUCCUAGUCACAGGCUGCGAAGCCAGGGUGUGCAAAGCUUGGCGUUCUGGUCCUGCCCAGAGUGGGAAGUGAGGCAGCAGAUGUGGGCUCGGUAUUCGCCCAUGAAGCCUGGAAUUGGAUCGUCGGCCACAGCUCCAGGAACUGUGUGCUCCGCUCCUCUGCACUCACAGCCCGGAAAACUCCAUGAGUCUCGUGCUCAGGCCAGACCUCAGAGUCAUCCCUGACCCCGAAGUCACAGCCUUCCAUCAGCUCGCCCCCUGGACUCUGCUCGCAAACUAUAUCGAGAAUCUGACCCCUCAUCACCAGUUCCUCUGCUCUACCCUGGACCCAUCUCCCACCGUCUCUCGCCUCACCCGGAUGCUUCCAGAGCCUCUUAACUGGGCUCUCUGUCCCCCUCCCCACACGCAGAGAAGUUUUACCAAGCUUUGCCCUGGAUAUAAUGUUAAUUUAAAUAUUAAUUAACAGUGCCCAGGAGGACACAAGUGAACA